rnacentral:RNase_P_RNA from 1 species
GAUCCAGACGGUCGCGUGCCCCAACCGGCAUGAGGAAAGUCCGGGCUGCAUAGGGUAAGGAUAGCAGAUAACGUCUGCCGAAGGCAACUUCAGGAAUAGUGCAACAGAGAGAUACCGCCGGCUCCGGCCGGUAAGGGUGGAAAGGCGAGGUAAGAGCUCACCACGUCCCAUGGUAACAUGGGAGGUCUGUAAACUCUAUCCGCAGCAACAUCGACAGGGACCAUAACUGACCCGGUUGUCCCGACUGAUGGCUUGAGGCGCACGGUGACGCGCGUCCCAGAUAGAUGAUCGUCCACGACAGAACCCGGCUUACGGGUCGC